CCCGUACACAAAAAUGCACAUAUUGUGAGCUCGAUGAGUAGGGCGGGACACGUGGUAUCCUGUCUGAAUAUGGGGGGACCAUCCUCCAAGGCUAAAUACUCCUGACUGACCGAUAGUGAACCAGUACCGUGAGGGAAAGGCGAAAAGAACCCCGGCGAGGGGAGUGAAAAAGAACCUGAAACCGUGUACGUACAAGCAGUGGGAGCCUCUUAAUGGGGUGACUGCGUACCUUUUGUAUAAUGGGUCAGCGACUUAUAUUCUGUAGCAAGGUUAACCGAAUAGGGGAGCCGAAGGGAAACCGAGUCUUAACUGGGCGUUAAGUUGCAGGGUAUAGACCCGAAACCCGGUGAUCUAGCCAUGGGCAGGUUGAAGGUUGGGUAACACUAACUGGAGGACCGAACCGACUAAUGUUGAAAAAUUAGCGGAUGACUUGUGGCUGGGGGUGAAAGGCCAAUCAAACCGGGAGAUAGCUGGUUCUCCCCGAAAGCUAUUUAGGUAGCGCCUCGUGAAUUCAUCUCCGGGGGUAGAGCACUGUUUCGGCAAGGGGGUCAUCCCGACUUACCAACCCGAUGCAAACUGCGAAUACCGGAGAAUGUUAUCACGGGAGACACACGGCGGGUGCUAACGUCCGUCGUGAAGAGGGAAACAACCCAGACCGCCAGCUAAGGUCCCAAAGUCAUGGUUAAGUGGGAAACGAUGUGGGAAGGCCCAGACAGCCAGGAUGUUGGCUUAGAAGCAGCCAUCAUUUAAAGAAAGCGUAAUAGCUCACUGGUCGAGUCGGCCUGCGCGGAAGAUGUAACGGGGCUAAACCAUGCACCGAAGCUGCGGCAGCGACACUAUGUGUUGUUGGGUAGGGGAGCGUUCUGUAAGCCUGUGAAGGUGGCCUGUGAGGGUUGCUGGAGGUAUCAGAAGUGCGAAUGCUGACAUAAGUAACGAUAAAGCGGGUGAAAAGCCCGCUCGCCGGAAGACCAAGGGUUCCUGUCCAACGUUAAUCGGGGCAGGGUGAGUCGACCCCUAAGGCGAGGCCGAAAGGCGUAGUCGAUGGGAAACAGGUUAAUAUUCCUGUACUUGGUGUUACUGCGAAGGGGGGACGGAGAAGGCUAUGUUGGCCGGGCGACGGUUGUCCCGGUUUAAGCGUGUAGGCUGGUUUUCCAGGCAAAUCCGGAAAAUCAAGGCUGAGGCGUGAUGACGAGGCACUACGGUGCUGAAGCGACAAAUGCCCUGCUUCCAGGAAAAGCCUCUAAGCAUCAGGUAACAUCAAAUCGUACCCCAAACCGACACAGGUGGUCAGGUAGAGAAUACCAAGGCGCUUGAGAGAACUCGGGUGAAGGAACUAGGCAAAAUGGUGCCGUAACUUCGGGAGAAGGCACGCUGAUAUGUAGGUGAAGCGACUUGCUCGUGGAGCUGAAAUCAGUCGAAGAUACCAGCUGGCUGCAACUGUUUAUUAAAAACACAGCACUGUGCAAACACGAAAGUGGACGUAUACGGUGUGACGCCUGCCCGGUGCCGGAAGGUUAAUUGAUGGGGUUAGCGGUAACGCGAAGCUCUUGAUCGAAGCCCCGGUAAACGGCGGCCGUAACUAUAACGGUCCUAAGGUAGCGAAAUUCCUUGUCGGGUAAGUUCCGACCUGCACGAAUGGCGUAAUGAUGGCCAGGCUGUCUCCACCCGAGACUCAGUGAAAUUGAACUCGCUGUGAAGAUGCAGUGUACCCGCGGCAAGACGGAAAGACCCCGUGAACCUUUACUAUAGCUUGACACUGAACAUUGAGCCUUGAUGUGUAGGAUAGGUGGGAGGCUUUGAAGUGUGGACGCCAGUCUGCAUGGAGCCGACCUUGAAAUACCACCCUUUAAUGUUUGAUGUUCUAACGUGGGCCCCUUACCGGGGUUGCGGACAGUGUCUGGUGGGUAGUUUGACUGGGGCGGUCUCCUCCUAAAGAGUAACGGAGGAGCACGAAGGUUGGCUAAUCCUGGUCGGACAUCAGGAGGUUAGUGCAAUGGCAUAAGCCAGCUUGACUGCGAGCGUGACGGCGCGAGCAGGUGCGAAAGCAGGUCAUAGUGAUCCGGUGGUUCUGAAUGGAAGGGCCAUCGCUCAACGGAUAAAAGGUACUCCGGGGAUAACAGGCUGAUACCGCCCAAGAGUUCAUAUCGACGGCGGUGUUUGGCACCUCGAUGUCGGCUCAUCACAUCCUGGGGCUGAAGUAGGUCCCAAGGGUAUGGCUGUUCGCCAUUUAAAGUGGUACGCGAGCUGGGUUUAGAACGUCGUGAGACAGUUCGGUCCCUAUCUGCCGUGGGCGCUGGAGAACUGAGGGGGGCUGCUCCUAGUACGAGAGGACCGGAGUGGACGCAUCACUGGUGUUCGGGUUGUCAUGCCAAUGGCACUGCCCGGUAGCUAAAUGCGGAAGAGAUAAGUGCUGAAAGCAUCUAAGCACGAAACUUGCCCCGAGAUGAGUUCUCCCUGACUCCUUGAGAGUCCUGAAGGAACGUUGAAGACGACGACGUUGAUAGGCCGGGUGUGUAAGCGCAGCGAUGCGUUGAGCUAACCGGUACUAAUGAACCGUGAGGCUUAACCUUACAACGCCGAAG
rnacentral:rRNA from 1 species